rfam:Tupaia chinensis contig195565, whole genome shotgun sequence.
GUGUUUUAUUCAGCAGCACAUAUACAAAAACUGAAAUGAUGCAAAGGAGGUUAGCAUGGUCCCUGUGCAGAGAUGACACAUAAGUUUGUAAAGCAUUUGUAUUUCAA